AUUGAACGCUGGCGGCAGGCCUAACACAUGCAAGUCGAGCGGAUGAAGGGAGCUUGCUCCUGGAUUCAGCGGCGGACGGGUGAGUAAUGCCUAGGAAUCUGCCUGGUAGUGGGGGAUAACGUCCGGAAACGGGCGCUAAUACCGCAUACGUCCUGAGGGAGAAAGUGGGGGAUCUUCGGACCUCACGCUAUCAGAUGAGCCUAGGUCGUAUUAGCUAGUUGGUGAGGUAAAGGCCUACCAAGGCGACGAUCCGUAACUGGUCUGAGAGGAUGAUCAGUCACACUGGAACUGAGACACGGUCCAGACUCCUACGGGAGGCAGCAGUGGGGAAUAUUGGACAAUGGGCGAAAGCCUGAUCCAGCAAUGCCGCGUGUGUGAAGAAGGUCUUCGGAUUGUAAAGCACUUUAAGUUGGGAGGAAGGGCAGUAAGUUAAUACCUUGCUGUUUUGACGUUACCAAAAGAAUAAGCACCGGCUAACUUCGUG
rnacentral:rRNA from 1 species